rnacentral:misc_RNA from 1 species
GAGAGCGGCACUCGUGCCGGACCCUCUCCCACCCUUGUGUAUCUACCUCUGUUGCCUUGGCGGGAGCCCCUUUGGGGGCCCGAAGCGCGGGAGCUCGGCCCCCGCGGUCCGUCAGAGGCCCCAUCAGUAACACCGCCAUCGUGUCUAUCCGAGUCGUGGUUAUAAAAAGCA